GCGCCAUCGUUUUCUUCUCAUUCUUUCGUGUAACCACAGCAUACAAUGUCAGUUCCUGUGCAGGGUUGUAAGAUUGCCCAAGACUCACUUAAAGUUAGACUGCUCAAGACUGACUCAGAGAAAGAUACGGUAAACCGUGUGGUUUUCAUGUAGCGGGGACGAACCAGCACAGAAAGAGUUCAGGUAUGGUGGUCAAACACAGACGCCUACUCAUAGACACGAGGAGGCACGUAGGAGACUUUUUAGAUGCUGGUGUGUGGUGUGCUGAUGCAGAUAUGACGGCGUUAGUAGCUAGCAUUCUUCUCUCUUCAGUUUUUCUAUUUCAGUCUGGAGUGUGAACACGUGUUUGCUAAUGGCUGAACGUCCUGGGCCUCCUUCAUGGAUAUGUGUGGUUGUGAUGUCCAUUUUUCUGGGCACAGAUGGCCUGCAGGUGAGGUACCGCAAAGCCUAUCUCCUUGGGGUAGAGGGCCAGUCUCUGACGUUGACCUGCAAUGUGGAGUAUAACUUCACAAUGUGCGGCCAACUUGACCUUUCCUGGUAUCAACUGAAAGAAGGAAAACGAUCUGGGCUCACUGAUAUCCAAAAGUACCUCACCACUGUCAAUGAGACACACCUUGAACCCAUCAGGCAUAGACAGACUGUCACUGAAUUCCUCCAACUGGCCCCUGAAGACCAAGGUCUCUUUCAGUGUGUUGCUCGUUGUGACAGUGAGGAAGCCAUGGGACACUUCAUCAACAUUACCGUCAAAGCUGCCCCCAAAGACAGUCAGCAGAGUGCAAACAAUGGAGGCCUGAAUAGAGGUCAUGAUACCAGCCUGACUCUAUGGUCCCUUCUGCCUGUCUGGGGCUCACUCAAAGUAGUAUACACAUAUAUAUAAAACACAUUAUGUAUCUUAAUUUAUGUCUAAACUUAUCUGUAGUGCUUCUAAAGUACUGUUUUGGAAAACACCAUAGAAAGGGUGUUCUCACAACAUCAAAUAUAUUCUAUUGUUCAUUGGAUUUGUGUUUUUCACUAGAGAUCAUACUAAAUAUUUCACAAAAUUGUUUUACUCAUAAAUGUGUUGUAUUUGUGGCUGGUCCAUUGUGAUUAGACUUGUGUUCUGCCAGAUAAAAAGACAUGAAUGAUGAGGCUUAUUUUUGGACAGACACCCUCAUCACCGAUUCAACCUGAAUGUAUUUUUCUCAUCUCAUUUUAAGUUAGACAUCAUCAGACAUAGGAGUUUUUCAUGCGCCUCAAUCUAUGAUGAUCCUUUCCCUGCUCAAGAAAUCACAACAAAGUUAAGCAUCAUCAUUGUGUAAAGGAGCACUUGUUUGAGCUUUUGCUGAUUAAAGUUGGUGUAACUGU